GAUGAACGCUGGCGGCGUACCUAAUACAUGCAAGUCGAGCGAACAGACGAGGAGCUUGCUCCUCUGACGUUAGCGGCGGACGGGUGAGUAACACGUGGAUAACCUACCUAUAAGACUGGGAUAACUUCGGGAAACCGGAGCUAAUACCGGAUAAUAUAUUGAACCGCAUGGUUCAAUAGUGAAAGACGGUUUUGCUGUCACUUAUAGAUGGAUCCGCGCCGCAUUAGCUAGUUGGUAAGGUAACGGCUUGCCAAGGCAACGAUGCGUAGCCGACCUGAGAGGGUGAUCGGCCACACCGGAACUGAGACACGGUCCAGACUCCUACGGGAGGCAGCAGUAGGGAAUCUUCCGCAAUGGGCGAAAGCUUGACGGAGCAACGCCGCGUGAGUGAUGAAGGUCUUCGGAUCGUAAAACUCUGUUAUUAGGGAAGAACAAAUGUGUAAGUAACUAUGCACGUCUUGACGGUACCUAAUCAGAAAGCCACGGCUAACUACGUG
rnacentral:rRNA from 1 species